rnacentral:rRNA from 1 species
GCUUAUCACCAUUCCAGAUUGAAUAUACCCGAUCUCGUCUGAUCUCGGAAGUCAAGCAAUCUCGGGCUUGGUUAGUACUUGGAUGGGUGACCGCUUGAGAAUACCAAGU